UGAAAAACAGAGAAUUGACUCAGGAGGAACUGAAGUAUUCUGAAGGCUCCACAGCUAAGACAUUCACAGCUGUGAGAAGUACUGGAGAAUUUAACUUGGACUGACUCCAAGCGUGAGACACAUCAGUUUCAAGAAAUUUUGAGGGCUUCUAGCCCUCAGUGCCCACAAGAAAUACUUUUCACAUCUUAAACAUAUCAGCCCCUUCCAAACAGGGCCAUUUUAAGAAUCAUCUCCACUUCUUAGCCAAAAGAAUUCUGGGUGAAAAGAACUUCUCCAGUACACACUAAUAUCCUUCCUUUGAUUUAUAUCUCGGGUUUAUGGAAGUAUGUUUUCAAUUUUCCCUUUAAAUACCAGAUCAGGAAGUUUUGCCACAUCUUUUCCUCUCUGCCAAACAUUUCACUUGGCAAUGCUUCUGCAGUGUAUGUGCCUCUGAUCACCACAAAGAUGAUUUGAGCUUGGCAUUGCUCUAGUGCAGCACCUCUCCCUGUACUUUACCUUCUCAGUAGUCAGUCUACAGCCAAGACCCACCUCCUGGGGCACAAAAACAGCUGUCCCUUGAGAACAGCAGCAAUCUGACAUUUUUAUUGACAUCCUUCUCAUAUUCUCUUUAUAAUAAUAUCUGCCUUGUACCAAGAGUGCAGUAGGAUUAAAAAUACAUAAAACUGAGUCAAAACAAUUACAUGGAACAAAAGUGUAACCAGAGUUGCAAGGAGAAAAAAGUACAAGGAGAGAACCAAAUGUGUUCUGGAACAUUUUUUUUAAAUUAAUGCUGCCAGCAGUGGAAAUGGCAAGCCUUUCUUUCCUGUAAUAGGUAGCUGAACAUGCUAGGGAAAUGAAAAAAUAGCUCAGGGACUCUUGCAUUAGUGAAAAUGUUUGCCAUACUACUUUGGUAAGAGAAAAGGAUUUCAAAGACCUUGAGGACUGGCAUGAAGGAGAGAAAGAAAGACAGGGUAAUUUGUCCCAUUGAAAAGACACUGUGAAAUGGCACAAGCAUAAUCAAAAGAGGGAUUUCUUUCUGUGUGAGCAGGACAGAAGAAAAGCAAUUUGUUCCUUGAGAGUGAAGAGCUGUAAAGAGGGUAUACAAAAGAAUAUCUGCUCUUAGAAAGCACUUGACAAAAUAACCUUGCACUUGUGUGGAGUACUUCUGUAGCCAACAGACUGCAUGCAUCUCAGCAUGGAAAGACACUGGACUUUCACUGAAUGUCUGAGGUUGGAAAGUGCUUCUGGAGAUCACCCUGUCCAACCCCUUUGCUCAAGGAGUGCUGCCCAGAGUCUGUUACCCAGUACAAUUUGUGAAUGUUAAAUUCACAAAAAGAAUACAUGGGGUUCCGUGGUCAGGCCUCCUGUUCUAAAAACAGCAGUUUAGUGACAGGUAGAUAAAAUUCCUAAAGAAGAAUUAUCCUGUGUACUUGCAUGAAAGCAGUCUCUCAAAAGCAUUCAAAAGAGAUGCACUUAACAAUUAUUCCUGCGUGUUUUGAUCAUUUGUGUUCUGAAAUUUCUUGGUUUCAUUUAUUUGUUUAUUUACACCAGAGGACCUAUCCAAAUGAAGGAAAUGCAUCUUUCAUACCUGCGGCUACAGGUGGUAAGAAGUGAAUUUAGCGUUGUAUCUGGUGCUAAUAUUUGAACUGACAUAUCCAUAUGCAGAGUGAUGCAUCUCAUCUUCAUCUCCAUUAUUACAUGUUCCGUGGCUAUUGACCAUGAUUUGUUGAUAUUUGAAAGGUAUGCUUAACUCCCAACAGGUGAACUAUCAAUACAACACUGAA